GCGUCCAUAGCUCAGUUGGUAGAGCAGGGGACUCUUAAUCCCAAGGUCGCAGGUUCGAUCCCUGCUGGACGCA
rnacentral:tRNA from 1 species